ACGCUGGCGGCGUGCCUAACACAUGCAAGUCGAGCGGGGUCCAUCCGGUAGCAAUACCGGGGAAGACCUAGCGGCGAACGGGUGAGUAACACGUGAGAAACCUGCCCCGAAGUCUGGGAUAACCCGAGGAAACUCGAGCUAAUACCGGAUGUCUUCUUCUGAUCGCAUGGUCGGAUGAAGAAAGAUUUAUCGCUUCGGGAGGGUCUCGCGGCCUAUCAGCUAGUUGGCGGGGGUUAAACGGCCCACCAAAGGCGUCGACGGGUAGCUGGUCUGAGAGGACGAUCAGCCACACUGGGACUGAGACACGGCCCAGACUCCUACGGGAGGCAGCAGUGGGGAAUAUUGCGCAAUGGGCGAAAGCCUGACGCAGCAACGCCGCGUGCGGGAUGAAGGCCUUCGGGUUGUAAACCGCUUUCAGUGGGGACGAAUUCAGACGGUACCCACAGAAGAAGCCCCGGCCAACUACGUG
rnacentral:rRNA from 1 species